CGGCGUUCCUGAGGUUCCUGUCAGGGUUCUACUCACUUGGUGGCGGUGCGUUCACAGAACAUUUUGGAGCCCUUUGGCACAAUUCACUGGAAACAAAGAAACAUUUGUUAAAUUAGAAAAAAUCCAAGUUUGGGAUGUGUUGACAAGCUGAUGGAAGAACCUCACCCCGUACAGCUGGAACCUGCUCUGACUGUGGACGACUGGAGAGAUCCACCACACGACAGUCGGGUCUGUCGGUGGUUGUUAUUAACCGUUGGGGUCAGCCGGGCCCUGAGUCCACGUCUUAAAAAAAUCCUGAACAAGUGAGUGAGGACAGAUUUAGCAGCUGAAAACAUUCCUGCCGCAGACACACCUUAGAGUCAGAACAGAACAAACACAUUAUCUUUAUCACUGCUCUGGCUGCGGGCCAACAGGGAGACGCAUACGUCCUCUGCUUUGUACACUGGCACGGGUUGAACCACACACACAUACACACACGUACAUACAUUUAACUGACUUCAUGCCCAUCUUAUAUUAUUGUAAU